rnacentral:rRNA from 1 species
UGAGUUUGAUCCUGGCUCAGGAUGAACGCUGGCGGCGUGCCUAAUACAUGCAAGUCGAGCGAACGGACGAGAAGCUUGCUUCUCUGAUGUUAGCGGCGGACGGGUGAGUAACACGUGGAUAACCUACCUAUAAGACUGGGAUAACUUCGGGAAACCGGAGCUAAUACCGGAUAAUAUUUUGAACCGCAUGGUUCAAAAGUGAAAGACGGUCUUGCUGUCACUUAUAGAUGGAUCCGCGCUGCAUUAGCUAGUUGGUAAGGUAACGGCUUACCAAGGCAACGAUGCAUAGCCGACCUGAGAGGGUGAUCGGCCACACUGGAACUGAGACACGGUCCAGACUCCUACGGGAGGCAGCAGUAGGGAAUCUUCCGCAAUGGGCGAAAGCCUGACGGAGCAACGCCGCGUGAGUGAUGAAGGUCUUCGGAUCGUAAAACUCUGUUAUUAGGGAAGAACAUAUGUGUAAGUAACUGUGCACAUCUUGACGGUACCUAAUCAGAAAGCCACGGCUAACUACGUGCCAGCAGCCGCGGUAAUACGUAGGUGGCAAGCGUUAUCCGGAAUUAUUGGGCGUAAAGCGCGCGUAGGCGGUUUUUUAAGUCUGAUGUGAAAGCCCACGGCUCAACCGUGGAGGGUCAUUGGAAACUGGAAAACUUGAGUGCAGAAGAGGAAAGUGGAAUUCCAUGUGUAGCGGUGAAAUGCGCAGAGAUAUGGAGGAACACCAGUGGCGAAGGCGACUUUCUGGUCUGUAACUGACGCUGAUGUGCGAAAGCGUGGGGAUCAAACAGGAUUAGAUACCCUGGUAGUCCACGCCGUAAACGAUGAGUGCUAAGUGUUAGGGGGUUUCCGCCCCUUAGUGCUGCAGCUAACGCAUUAAGCACUCCGCCUGGGGAGUACGACCGCAAGGUUGAAACUCAAAGGAAUUGACGGGGACCCGCACAAGCGGUGGAGCAUGUGGUUUAAUUCGAAGCAACGCGAAGAACCUUACCAAAUCUUGACAUCCUUUGACAACUCUAGAGAUAGAGCCUUCCCCUUCGGGGGACAAAGUGACAGGUGGUGCAUGGUUGUCGUCAGCUCGUGUCGUGAGAUGUUGGGUUAAGUCCCGCAACGAGCGCAACCCUUAAGCUUAGUUGCCAUCAUUAAGUUGGGCACUCUAAGUUGACUGCCGGUGACAAACCGGAGGAAGGUGGGGAUGACGGUCAAAUCAUCAUGCCCCUUAUGAUUUGGGCUACACACGUGCUACAAUGGACAAUACAAAGGGCAGCGAAACCGCGAGGUCAAGCAAAUCCCAUAAAGUUGUUCUCAGUUCGGAUUGUAGUCUGCAACUCGACUACAUGAAGCUGGAAUCGCUAGUAAUCGUAGAUCAGCAUGCUACGGUGAAUACGUUCCCGGGUCUUGUACACACCGCCCGUCACACCACGAGAGUUUGUAACACCCGAAGCCGGUGGAGUAACCUUUUAGGAGCUAGCCGUCGAAGGUGGGACAAAUGAUUGGGGUGAAGUCGUA